AAUUUGCAGUGUCUGCUUUGUUUCUCGGUCAAUUCGGGAUAAUCCUGUAAUUGAAGAUUUUAUCUUCUUGUAUUUUCUUUUAGGAUCUCAUUAUCCAGAAAAAUUAGAACAUAUGGCUGCAGGUAGCACCAUUUCUCCUGGUUUGUCUAAAGCAUUUUAUCUGUUGUGGUUUAAUUGCUGAGUAAGAAGUGCAAACCAAGCAGGCUUCAUGACACUGAAAGAGUGAAGUGAAAGGGUGCUCUACAAAAGGUCCUCUACUGAAUCCUUGGUCACAAGCCUUCCUGACAGUGCCCAUAUCAUCAGUGCUGUUGCUGAUGCUCCUGGAUACCUGAAUGUCAGCAUACUGAACUUCACAGUCAAUGACCACCAUUGUGGUGACAAAGAGGUGAUGGGAGUGGCAACAUCUGUAAGGUUGACAUCCUAAGUAAAUGAUAAAGACCACAUGGGAAUCUCUUGUUUACCUACAUGCCACUUGAUUAUUAUAGAGCUACUCUGCAAAGAGUUAGUUACAUGAGAAGAAUGAAGGUGAACUGAGUGAUGGAGAGAUGUAUGAAAGAGAAAGGACUUACGUUAUUGAGAACUUGAAUAUAUAAGUAAUGAGGAUAUAUAUAACUAUUAUGUGUAUGUAUAUAUAAAAAUAUUCAUGUUGCUCAUCCAGAAGGAAUUAAAAAUAGUGUGAAUACAGAUCACAUUCUUUAAAAACGCUGUUAAGAUACGAUCAAAGGAUGGGUCAUUUCCUGAUUUUCCUGUAC
rnacentral:lncRNA from 1 species